rnacentral:rRNA from 1 species
UACAGAGGGUGCAAGCGUUAAUCGGAAUUACUGGGCGUAAAGCGUGCGUAGUCGGCCACUCAAGUCGGGUGUGAAAGCCCCGGGCUCAACCUGGGAAUUGCAUUCGAUACUGUGUGGCUAGAGUUCGGCAGAGGGAAGUGGAAUUUCGGGUGUAGCGGUGAAAUGCGUAGAUAUCCGAAGGAACAUCAGUGGCGAAAGCGACUUCCUGGACCAGAACUGACGAUCAGGCACGAAAGCGUGGGGAGCAAAC